UAGGCUUCUUAUCCUGCUAUGUUUCCAUAUGUUGGUUUUAAAGCUGUUUUAGUUCUUGAGUGCUCAGCUAAAGUCUAACAAAACACCCCUGAUAUCCUCUGACUGAACGGUCGUUGCUAACUUCUUUGCAGCAUUUCCUGUUUACAAAUCCUGCAGAGGUCUUUACAGUCAGCUAAUAUGAUCAGAAUUGCAUCUGAUCAUAUUUGGUCUGUUUCCUAAAGGUCAAGAUGACGUCCUCAGAUAUCCUGUUUUGUCCACAAUCCAAAGAGUUUACUGUCACAGAGGAGGAUAGAAGAAAGAAAAUAUACACUGCCUGGCCAAAAAAAAUCUCCACCUGCAUUUAACUGAGCAAACAGACUGCGUUUUCUUACCGCCAUGGCUCUGGUGAAGCCGACCACGCCGCUCUUGGUGGCCGUGUACACCGGACAGCUGGGCAAAGGACCGAGACCUGCAGGAUAAGAGAAAACACAUGCAGGGCUUUACCUGCCAUAGACGCUGUGUUGACGAUGACUCCUCCUCGACCUCCACUCAGCUUACUCAUGUGCUCCAGAGCCAGGUACGUCCCCCUGAUAACACCCAUCUACAAUACAGUUUGUAUGGGUGCUUCUGUCA